UACGUAGGGUGCAAGCGUUGUCCGGAAUUAUUGGGCGUAAAGGGCUCGUAGGCGGUCCAUCGCGUCGGGAGUGAAAAGCUGGGGCUUAACCCCAGUCCUGCUUCCGAUACGGGUGGACUAGAGGUAGGUAGGGGAGAUCGGAAUUCCUGGUGUAGCGGUGAAAUGCGCAGAUAUCAGGAGGAACACCGGUGGCGAAGGCGGAUCUCUGGGCCUUACCUGACGCUGAGGCGCGAAAGCUAGGGGAGCGAACAGG
rnacentral:rRNA from 1 species